rnacentral:lncRNA from 1 species
CAAUUAGUACAUAAAAGAUUUUUCUGUUUAAAAUGUUUAAAUGAACAUAAUUGUACAAUUUGGAAAGAUUACAAUGCUUUUAUUUAAUUAACACUGCAAUAAAUACAUUGCUCUGUAAUGAACCCCAUACUUUUAGGCCAUUAGCCAUUCAAUAAAUUUGCAAUAUGGAAGGUCCUUUAUGGAGAAGAAGAUAAAUAAAGCUAUUUAAACGAAUGUACGACAGCUAUGAUGCUAAGCAGCAAAUUAUAGCUUUUUGCUUCUCAUCUACUAGAGUUGUACCUUGAUUACAAACACAUGCGAGUGUAAUAAACAGCAUACAUUUCAAUUACUAUUUUGAACAUGAGGUACACUGGACGCUAAAGAAAAAUUCUGCAGCAUUGGUGCAGCUCCACUCCAUGGCAUCUUCCCAAUGAGAAACUCUUUCAGAAUUUUUCCAAAAGGUUCAUCUGUUGUCUGCCUUAUCAAGCCAGGUCUGGACCUGCCAGACAAAAAUAAUGUCCCUCACGCAGCCUCUCAGAACCGGCUGGUUCCAUGGGUGAUCACAGAAUUAAAGCCACUCCCCUCGUGUGACACUCUCUGACAAAGGACUAUCUAUGACAGGUCUAGCAGCAGCAGAGGUUAUGUCCAGGCCCUGCUCUCUGUCGUCUCGUCACCGUCACACACCAGUUACAAGCAAAAUGAUGAACCCCUCCAGUCCCAUGGCCCUCAGUCCUCAUCCAAACACCUUCUCCUUCCAUUACUGAGCCCUGCAAGGAUGGCACACACAGCUGGUGCCCAAGAGCCCAGAUUUCAGAUGAAGCUUAGAGAGAUUAAGUGUUGGCAUAGGGUCCCAGAGCCGAGGUGAGGCUAUAAUUUUGUCUUCUACUUAAUGCACCUUAUUAAUAUUGGUAGCUGUAAUACAAUAAUAUCAGUGACUAAAAUGUAUUGAUAUCAGAAACAAGGACUGAUAUUGAAUGAUUAUUAUUUCCCAGGGGUUAUACUGCAUUUUAUAGAUGAGGAAACUAAAGCUUAGAUAUGUGAGUAAUCUGGCCCAACAUCACAGGAAGUAAAUGGUGGAGUCAAGCCCAAGCUAUGUAGCUGCUCCCAGGAUUCUAUCUUCAAGUGGUAACUGGGAAGAUCCCAAAGUCCUUCCUUUGGCUUACUCAGUGUUCUUUCCUUUGCUCUCCUUCAUAGUCUAUUCAUUUUCUUUUUGGAGACAAAGAG